CCUCUCCUCAGCCUGUGUCCUGGGGUGUCACAGUCCCCCGAGGAGGAAGCCUGGGCCCUGUCUUAGGUCCUGUUCUGGCGGUGGCCUGGCCCCUGGGACAGAGCCCUACAGACAAUUGCUGACCAUUCAAUCCUGCUGUGACACAUGUGCUGUGCUGCCGGAGCUCACCCAUUGCUGCUGCGCCUGGUUUCAAGACCUGGAGGUUCAAGCCAGCCCAUCUCACUGCUGAGCCAAUAAGGAGGAAGACAACAGGGUUACAACAAAGCUUCAGGCUUAGGAAGAAAUGUUUCACGUGGAUGGUGUCCUGGCCAGCGGGUUUGGUUCUAAAAUAAACACUACUGUCUCUGGGGCUGAAGAUUUGCCCAGGACAAUGAAGCAGCCAGCGGGAGGGUAGUGCAGAGCCG
rnacentral:lncRNA from 1 species